rnacentral:rRNA from 1 species
CAGUCGCCACGGUAAUACAGAGGGUGCGAGCGUUAAUCGGAUUUACUGGGCGUAAAGCGUGCGUAGGCGGCUUUUUAAGUCGUAUGUGAAAUCCCUGAGCUUAACUUAGGAAUUGCAUUCGAUACUGGGAAGCUAGAGUAUGGGAGAGGAUGGUAGAAUUCCAGGUGUAGCGGUGAAAUGCGUAGAGAUCUGGAGGAAUACCGAUGGCGAAGGCAGCCAUCUGGCCUAAUACUGACGCUGAGGUACGAAAGCAUGGGGAGCAAACAGGAUUAGAUACCCCAGUAGUCCCUGUCUCUUAUAC